rnacentral:rRNA from 1 species
ACGAACGCUGGCAGCGUGGAUUAGGCAUGCAAGUCGAACGGGAAUCUGCGGAUUCAAUCCUUCGGGAGAGAAACCGUGGAGGAGAGUGGCGAAAGGGUGAGUAACGCGUGGGCAAUCUGCCUCUAAGUUCGGAAUAACCUCUCGAAAGGGUGGAUAAUACCGGAUGUGGUGGCUAAUCGAUUGGUUGGUUAAUUAAAGGCGGGGAUUUACUUCGGUAGACCUGUCGCUUAGAGAUGAGCCCGCGUCCCAUCAGCUUGUUGGUAAGGUAACGGCUUACCAAGGCUUACGGGUAGCUGGUCUGAGAGGAUGGUCAGCCACACUGGGACUGAGACACUGCCCAGACUCCUACGGGGGGCUGCAGUCGAGGAUCAUUUACAAUGCGCGAAAGCGUGAUAAUGCGACGCUGCGUGUAGGAUGAAGGCCUUAGGGUCGUAAACUACUGUCAUUCGGGAAAAAGUGUCCUAAGAUUAAUAAUCUCUGGGCUUGAUGGUACCGGAAGAGGAAGCCACGGCUAACUCUGUGCCAGCAGCCGCGGUAAUACAGAGGUGGCGAGCGUUGUUCGGAUUUACUGGGCGUAAAGGGUACGUAGGCGGUACCGUAUGUCGGAUGUGAAAGCCCAUGGCUCAACCAUGGAACUGCAUUCGAAACUACGGAACUAGAGUACAGGAGGGGAGAGCGGAAUUCUUGGUGUAGCGGUGGAAUGCGUUGAUAUCAAGAAGAACACCAGCGGCGAAGGCGGGCUCUCUGGAAUGUUACUGACGCUGAGGUACGAAAGCUAGGGGAGCAAACAGGCUUAGAUACCCUGGUAGUCCUAGCUGUAAACGGUGUGCACUUGGUGUGGGAGGUAUUGACCCCUCCCGUGCCGGAGCUAACGCAUUAAGUGCACCGCCUGGGGAGUACGGCCGCAAGGCUAAAACUCAAAGAAAUUGACGGGGGCCCGCACAAGCGGAGGAGCAUGUGGCUUAAUUCGAUGCAACGCGAAGAACCUUACCAGGGCUUGACAUGCAGCUGCACGCCCGCCGAAAGGCGGGAAGCUUUCGAAGGUGCUGCACAGGUGCUGCAUGGCUGUCGUCAGUUCGUGCCGUGAGGUGUUGGGUUAAGUCCCGCAACGAACGCAACCCCUAUGUUUAGUUGCCACCGCAGGCGUAAGUCUGCGAGCACUCUAGACAGACUGCCCGUACAAGCGGGAGGAAGGUGGGGACGACGUCAAGUCAGUAUGGCCCUUACGCCCUGGGCUGCACACGUGCUACAAUGGCCACUACAAUAGGAUGCGAUACCGCGAGGUGGAGCAAAUCCCCAAAAGUGGCCCCAGUUCGGAUUGGAGUCUGCAACUCGACUCCAUGAAGUUGGAUUCGCUAGUAACGGCGUAUCAGCUACGACGCCGUGAAUACGUUCCCGGGCCUUGUACACACCGCCCGUCACAUCAUGAAAGCCGUCUGCACCCGAAGU